rnacentral:rRNA from 1 species
AGUGAACGCUGGCGGUAGGCCUAACACAUGCAAGUCGAACGGCAGCACAGUAAGAGCUUGCUCUUACGGGUGGCGAGUGGCGGACGGGUGGGGAAUACAUCGGAAUCUACUUUUUCUUGGGGGAUAACGUAGGGAAACUUACGCUAAUACCCCAUACAACCUACGGGGAAAAGCAGGGGAUCUUCGGACCUUCCGCGAUGAAAUAAGCCGAUUUCGGAUUAGCUAGUUGGCGGGGUAAAGGCCCACCAAGGCAACGAUCCGUAGCGGGUCUGAGGGGAUGAUCCGCCACACUGGAACUGAGACACGGUCCAGACUCCUACGGGAGGCAGCAGUGGGGAAUAUUGGACAAUGGGCGCAAGCCUGAUCCAGCCAUACCGCGUGGGUGAAGAAGGCCUUCGGGUUGUAAAGCCCUUUUGUUGGGAAAGAAAAGCAGCAGGUUAAUACCCCGCUGUUCUGACGGUACCCAAAGAAUAAGCACCGGCUAACUUCGUG